rnacentral:misc_RNA from 1 species
UUCACACUGAAUAUUCCUUCAAAUCACAUUUAUAUGCUCCCAGCAGUUGUAGAUCCUUCAGGUUUGCAGCACUUCUCUGACAGAGUUGUUGAUGGUAUCGCAGCAGUUUUCUUGGCAAUGAAACGAAGACCUGUUAUCCGAUAUCAAAGAACCUCUGAUAUUGCAAAAAGGAUAGCACAAGAAACAGCAAAGUUGAUGUACCAGCAGGAAAGUGGUCUUUUUGAUUUCAGGCGAACAGAAGUUUCUCCAUUAUUGCUGAUAGUUGAUCGAAGGGAUGACCCGGUGACUCCUUUGCUGAAUCAGUGGACCUAUCAGGCUAUGGUUCAUGAAUUAAUAGGAAUUCAGGACAACAAAGUGGAUUUGAGAAGUAUUGGCAAGUUUCCAAAAGAUCAGGAGGAGGUUGUCCUGUCAUCAGAGCAAGAUGCCUUUUUUAAAGCUAACAUGUAUGAGAAUUUUGGAGAUAUUGGAAUGAACAUCAAGCGGAUGGUGGAUGAAUUUCAGCAAGUUGGAAAAAGUAACCAAAACAUCCAGACAAUAGAGGACAUGGCCAAAUUUAUUGAUAAUUACCCUGAGUACAGGAAAAUGCAUGGCAAUGUUUCAAAGCAUGUAACAUUAGUAACAGAAAUGAGCAAGAUAGUUGAAGAACGAAAGCUCAUGUUAGUUUCAGAAACAGAGCAGGAGUUGGCUUGCAAUGGUGGGCAAGUUGCUGCUUUUGAGGCUGUGACAAAUCUUUUAAACAAUGAAAGUGUGUCUGACAUUGACCGUCUCCGCCUGGUGAUGUUAUAUGCCUUGCGGUACGAAAAGGAGAGUCCUGUUCAAUUGAUGCAGCUUUUCAACAAGCUGGCUUCUCGAUCUCCCAAGUACAAGCCUGGGCUUGUCCAAUUUCUCCUGAAGCAAGCAGGUGUGGAUAAGCGAACUGGGGAUCUUUAUGGGAAUCGAGAUCUUUUGAAUAUUGCUCGUAAUAUGGCUCGUGGCUUAAAGGGAGUUGAAAAUGUAUACAUCCAGCACCAGCCUCUACUCUUCCAAACCAUGGAAAGCAUAAUCAGAGGGAGGAUGAGAGAUGUGGACUACCCUUUUGUUGGGAAUCACUUUCAACAGGGAAGGCCACAGGAUGUGGUUAUUUUCAUUGUUGGUGGGACAACA